GUAGCUCAGUGGUAGAGCAAUUUGUCUGGCAUGCUCAAGGCCCUGGGUUCAAUUCCCAGC
rnacentral:tRNA from 1 species